CGCCGCUGCCGCAGCCACCGGCCUCCCCCGCAGCCGCGUCGCCGCCGCUGCUGCAGCCACCGCCCCUCCCCGCAGCCCCGUCUCCGCCGCCGCCGCCGGGACCGGCCUCCCCCGCAGCCCCAGGGCCGCGGCCGCAGCCGCCUGACGUCCCUAGUACUUACCAGCUCGUUCCGCGGGCGGGAGCCCCCAACGCCCCACCUGCUCGGCUGCCUCCCCCUCGUCAGCCGGCCGCUCUCAAGCGGUCCGUCCACACGACGGUCAUGCCGUCCGGUUGCGCUGGGGCAAACAGGGCCUCGGAUGUGAUGGUCUUCGCCGGCCUGCUCGCGGAACUCUCCCGCGACCGCCAGUGCCCCCGCCGGAGGUGGUCCAGCUCCCGCAUCCGGCGGCGCCCGUUCAGGAGCCUGCUCCACUGGAGCCGAUUGAGGAGGACGCCCCCCCCACCCCCCCUCGCCCCAGCACGGCUCGCCACCGCCCGUCGUCGCGGAGGAGGUACGUGUAGGUUCCUCCUCCCCCUCCACGGAGCGUGGCCAGGCCUCACCUUCACCAUCGGGAGCGGCAGAUGGGGAUUCUAGCGACCCAUCGGCGGCGGCGGCGGCAGCAGCAGCAGCAGCUGUUGAGGGCGAAGCAGCUGAUGGUGAAGAGCAAACUUUCCGAUUGUGAUAUUGAUGCUAUCUUGACAGGAUCGUGACUGAACUCGAGGUCUCUUGAAAGAUGCUGAUAGGAAGGUGCUUCAGCAAGGAGUGAUGAACAAGGUCCUGAUGGUUGAAGCUUCUCUGCUGGAUUCAUCGACUUCACCCUUUUUGAGUCUGAUAACUAGCUUCAUGUUGCUGUUUGCAAACUAUGUCUGUUUUGGUUCGAGGUUUAGAUGCGUGGUAACAGGUUUUAGCCCUGUAGCUUAAUGUUUCGACUUCGAGCUCUUAGCGGCAGGUUUCUUGUUAGUGCUCCCGACUAACUUCGCCUCUCUUACUCCCCUUUCGUCCCCUUCUUGCCUUCUCUCGAUCUGCUGCCGCUGGGACAGUGUUGGAAAAAAGACUGUAUUUCGUUAAGAAAUUAACGGAAAGGGACGAGGCCUGGUUGGAGACUAUGUCUGGACUUAAGCUCAAUUAUAGUCAGAAUAUUUUUCCGCUGGCAGUGAUAACACCAAUACUGAAUUUUAUUCAGAUUUAUUUGGAUGUCAACUAGGCUGCCUUCCUAUGAAGUGUUUGGGGUCCCUGUCACUUUUUCUGCUCUUGAGACAAGUGAUUUGUCCUCCGUAGAAGCUAGAAUGAUAAAGAAAUUAGAUGCUUUGAUUGACUCUUGCCAAUUCUAGUUUGGUGGGAAUUCCCUCUUUCCUGAUGUCUAUGUUCUUGUUUAACAAAACUCUACUGAAAAAACUGGAUAAACCUUGUGGACGCCUUUUUUGGGAAGGAAGUGGGUGUAAACGCAAAUACCACCUUGUUAAGUGGAAAAUCCUUUGUCGUUCCAAGAAAAAGGGAGGUUUGGGAAUCCUAGAUUUGAAAAAGCAGAAUAUUAGUUUAAUGACAAACUGGUGGUGGAAGGUAGAGACCCAAAAGGGGCUGUGGCAGGAUACUAUUAAAGCCAAAUAUUUUCGGAAUCAUACUGUGGCUUCGGUCAAAGCCCGUUUAAUGAUUCUCCCCUGCUGGAAACACAUUUUGGAUGUAAAAGAUGUUUACUUUGCUGGAAGGGAGUUGACGGUGAUUUGGUUAGGCUGUGGUUAGAUCCCUGGUUAAAUUGUAUUCCAUUGCAAGUCCAGUUUCCUGAACUUUUUGACAUUUGCCAAAAACAGAGUUGCACGAUUGCAGAAUUUGUUAAUAAUAUUACCAUCUACUCUUUCGUCGUCGUUUAUCUGGUGAGAUGCUGGAGCAAUGGAACAACAUUUUCCGAGCUAUUCGUGAGAUAGAAUUGAAUUCUUUCCCAGAUAAGGUUUUGUGGUCCCUGACAAAAAAUAAGCAGUUUGCUACCAAGUCCACAUAUAUGUGGCUUGAACGUGUGUUUUCUGGUGCUAAUAACAAAUGGCUUUGGAAAGCAAAGAUCCCUCUUAAAAUCAAAAUCUUUAUGUGUCAGUUAUUCCGUAAUGCUAUAUUAACUAGAGAUAACAUGAGAAAAAGAAAAUGGUUGGGAAACCCGACUUGCUCUUUCUGUGACUGUACUGAGACUGCUACUCAUAUUUUUUGGCUGUCAUAUGGCAAAAGCCGUGUGGGGCACUAUUGGUAACACUAUCGGGGCUCCUUGUGUUCCAAGAAACGUAUGGCAGAGUUUCACUUGGUUGUUCUCCUUUCUACCUGGGGAAAAUAAUAUGUACUAUAUGAUUGCUAUUGCUGCUGUUUGCUGGGGUGUCUGGACUGUGAGGAACAAGAUUACUUUUGACAAACAUGUUGUCAGAUCCUCUACAAGUGUGAUGUUUACGGUUUGCUCUUUCUUAAUGUAGGAGAUGCUUCAGAAGGGAGUGCAGGUCUUGAUGAUUGAAGCUUCUCGGCUGGCUUCGGCGACUGUGCCUGCUGCAGGAACUGCUGCUGCUGGCGUGCAUUGUGCAGAGAGAGCGGCAAGGGAGGACUGGCGUCGGGAGGAAGAAGACGGUCGGUCUUAUCCUCACCUCUUCGGUCUCACGUUAGCCGAAGACAGCUCUCCGGUCGCCCGGAAUUUGGGUGGGCCGGCCCAAAAACAAGAGCAGCGCCACAAAAACUGGCUUCCGCCCGGAAUCGAAGGGAGUUUCUAUGUGACGCGUUCUGCGUCAAAUUGCCGCGAUUUCGCACAGGCACGCCGUUCGCGUGCGACGAUUGGGCUGGCCCAUUGCAGUGCGCCACAGAAACCAGCUGAAAAAAAAAAUCGCUAAAAGGUAGGCGCAACCACUGGGAAUCGAACACAGGACCACAGACUUGUGCUCGCUCCAUGCUAGCCACUAAGCUGGAACACCUCAGUUGACAAAUGAACAGCAAAAAUCUAAAAGAACUAAAGAAUGUAUAAGACUUAACACUGUUUGAAAAAUAUCCUUUACCAUUUUCCAAAUUUUAAUUAAAUUUUUAAUAGUA